UCCCUGGUGGCUCAGAUGGUAAAGAAUCUGCCUGCAAUGCAGAAGACCCAGGUUUGAUCCCUGAGUCAGGAA
rnacentral:tRNA from 1 species